rnacentral:tRNA from 1 species
GGGGUUGUGGCUCAGUGGUAGAGCACUCACCUAGCAGUGCAAGGCCCUGAGUUCAAUCCUCAGCACCACA